UACGGAGGAUCCGAGUGUUAUCCGGAUUUAUUGGGUUUAAAGGGUGCGCAGGCGGAAGAUUAAGUCGGCGGUGAAAUUUUGCAGCUCAACUGUAAAAGUGCCUUCGAAACUGGUUUUCUUGAGUGUAGAUGAAGUAGGCGGAAUUUGUGGUGUAGCGGUGAAAUGCUUAGAUAUCACAAAGAACUCCGAUUGCGCAGGCAGCUUACUAAACUACAACUGACGCUCAGGCACGAAGGCGUGGGUAUCGAACAGG
rnacentral:rRNA from 2 species